rfam:Microlunatus phosphovorus NM-1 DNA, complete genome.
AGGCUGACGACCGCGUCUGGUUCUGCCCCGGUGCCUUGUGCGCCGUCGGCAGAGGCAAGAGGGAACCCGGUGAGAAUCCGGGACUGCCCCGCAGCGGUAUUCGGGAACGACAGUCGUCACCAAGCACUGGGUCCACGGGAUCUGGGAAGCGACGGCCAGUAGGUGAGCCAGCCGGCUCGUGCCCGUGAGUCCGAAGACCUGCCUGACGUCCGGUUCGGCA